CAGUAUUAAUUAUAGUAAUUAUAAUUAAUUAUAUUAAUUAUUCUGCCCAGCUCUAAUUCUGGCAUUUGUCCAGACAACAAACAGAUAGCACCUCACCUGUUAAACUCUCAGUCAGGUCCCACUGAACAGGGGCCACAAAAGACACACAGGAUCUAAGGCUUGAAUUAUUGAUCACUGGCUGAGGGGGCAAUGAAACCUGGGGUGGCUCAAUCCUGGUGACAGACUGAUAUCUAUGCAGCUCCCUUUUCUCUCUUCAGUGGAGCGUGUAACACAGAACAGGACCAGAAGGCCAGAAUAACAUCACAUAUGAUAGCUUGAGACGUGCUUUGUGUGUGAUACAAUUUCAAAUGUGAUUUAAACAUUUUGUUUGAUCUCAAAGUCAGUGACAGCCAAAAAGGCCAGAGUGAUAAAUGGAUGAAAUAGGAAAGAAGGAAACAUGCUGUCAUAAUUUACUCAACUUUAUGUAGUUACAAACCUGGAGGAUGAGUAAACAAUUGCAGAAUUUUCACUUUUGAGUCAAUUAAUCCAAAUACUCCAUGAAAGGAUGAAAGGACUGAGGGAUUCAGAUUGAGAAGAGAGUAAGAGGAGCAGAGGCGCUGAAGAGAGGGAGGGAGUGAGGUAGGUCUGAUCAGUCUAGGAGCUGCAUACACACUCUUACCAUACACAAGGGAAAUGGGUCCUCAGCUACACUUCAGCAGCACCUACUCAGAAGAAUUCAGUUACCCGGCUCGAGGCAAACCUGCCCGGCCCAGACCUUCCUCUGCAUAUCGCAGGAACAAUCCUCAUCCACGGCCGGACUUCCUGAUGCCAAGAAUGCUGCAGACAGGAUAUGGCUCACGGAAACACUUUCAGACAACUACUCCUCCUACCUCUUUUCUACCUCCAGUCAGACACAUAUCAGUCCAGUAUCCAGACGUACAAACAGCACAUGGACAGUUGAUGCAGAGCUCAUCACAAAAAGACUCCAAACCACCUGAGGUCUCGUCUGCAGUUUGUACACUGCCACCUGCUGCCUGGCUUCUCAAACCACAACAAACCAACUUUGCUCAUGCAACAGUCACAAACACACAAGGGAAAUAUUCAGACACAGAUCGUAUCAGAUCAGCUUUGAACCAACGGAUGGACAUCAUGCCAUCUUUAAAACCCUUCAGACAUCAGGUUACCCAUCAUCACAGAAGACCACACUCAAAAUUCACAAUUGAUCGCAGUGAAGGACGCAGCUGUUUCCAUGUGGUGAAGCCAUAUAAAGGUGGACACUACAUCAUCCACCCAGAGUUUGUGUCAGAAGCAAAGCACUACUAAAAAUGACUUGUUGUCAGUUUGAUAAUGUCAUUUUACAGUGUAUUUUUGAGGUACGUUUGGUGUUUGGAGAUCCUGCCUCGUAAAAUAUUCUUAGGUGCAGCUUCAUUUUAUUGACUGUAGAACGUAUUUUUUGAUGUAAAUGUGCAUUUCACGACAAAUAAACAAGGUUUAUGAUGUGCUUGUUAAAUGUUU
ensembl:lncRNA